GCACGCAAAAUUUCGUUUUUGUUCCGGAAACAUCGCUCGAUCUAUCUGACGUUUGUCGGGUAAAAAUAGAAUUAAUCGCUUACGAGUGCGCAACAGACAAAAAAACUAAAAACAGAAAAAUUAACCUUAUUAGUCGCUAUUUUGUGAAUUGCAUAAUUUUCCACGAUGAUACGGCACUAUUGUAAUUUACCUAAUUAAGAGCUGAUACAUUUAACAUCUUACUGCGCGAGUCUUAUUGGAAUAUUGCGCCAUGUUUCAUUAGGUAUUACGUAAAAGGGAAAAUUUUCUUGUUUCUCUCUUGUCAUCGCGCCUCCAUGCGCGGAUUAAUUAUUUUUAGUUUCACUUCAAUUUUUACAAACACGAAACCUAACGCAAUUCCGUCUAACACGAUACUACCGUGUACACGCGUAUACGUUUCUCUAAUUAGUCGCUUUUUUCGCCGCGACGAUGGUGCGGAAAAACCAGUCGCAGAGAAUGAAAAUAGACGACUCCGUAGGAGUUGCGGGAAGAAAGUGACACCGCAAGGACAACGACCGUGCAAAGUCCCCCCGCGAACAUUGUGCGGAGGAACUGGUUUUAAUGACUCACACUAGUCUGGUAUAUGAUCGAGAAUUACGCUACCUGCGAGAAACUCUCUCAGUUCCUUGAAACCUUGUGCGACGACCUCCGGCGUUUCCCGUAAUUCCUCCU